CCCGCCCGGAAGCACGGUCACCAUGACAGGAAAUGAAAGGAUGUCAUUAGAAGAAACGCAUCAUCCCAUCAGCCCUUUGGUUUUGCUUUCUAGACUCUGACAGCGGCCCCACCUCUGUCGCCGGGAGCAAGUCACUAAAAAAUUCCAUGAUGCGGUCACUCUGGGCACCGGGGGCAAUCAGGUAGAGGACAGAUGGCCUUACACUGGGGAAGGGUCCCCACAGUCAGUGCUGGCGGAGGACCGGUUCCAGGAAGACCUGCCCCCAUCUUCCCAGACCUCAUCUCCCCAGGACCCUGUCUCCCCAGGACCCUGGUCUUAGAGUUCUGCCCAUGACACAGGGACCCCGAGGUGCUGGAAAGGGGACACGACACAGCCUGGGAACACUACUCAACCCUGGGCUGGGCACCUCCAGCCUGACCUCCCACCUGGCUCUAGGGAAGGGAGGCCACCUACAGGGGCGACAGAGCUGGGACCUCACACAGAGCAGCCUGGCCCGGAUUCCAGACACUAACCGGACCUUCCAUUGCCUGAGUCCCAGAGGCACUCAGGCUGGGCGGGCCCUGUACCCUCCCUGGGCUCCAUUGGCUCCAGUCUGUCUCCCCCCCGGGGCAGCCCACCCUGUUCCCAGUUUUCCUGACGGGAGGGGCUUUGUCCUGCAUGGCCUGCACCUGCUCAGGAGACCACGCCUCCACUCUCAUGGGGGACCCAGAUCCUUCCUUCCCUUCUUGGACCCUCACACACUUUGGUGGAGAUCUCGAGCUGGAUGUAGGGGUCUUUGCACAUUUUCACUCAGCGUUCCAGAGGCAGACUUGGCAGAGGGGGGCUGUCAUUCCCCCGAGGGGACAGGAUCGCCUCCUUCUUAUUUCUUGCCUGGGACCGAGGUAGCCUCGAGCUUUUAGAUCAUCGCCAUGUCAGCGGUGUUGAGCGCUACUCCUGGACCCAGAGUUCAUCACUAGUCUCGACUGCGGCCUUUACCGAAGCGUAUCCACCCCCCCCCCCAUCCCCCCCGGCUCAGGGAGACGGGGACAGGGAAAACUAGUCUCCAGGCCUCUGCUGCCUCCAGAGAGAGGGUGUCGUGUCGUGUGCGGGGCGUGCAGGUGUCUCAGCCCAGCAGGCCCAGGGAGCUUGGGCCAGGCCAUGCCCACACGGGCUGCUGAAGGGGACUCAGGGACGGGUCACCUGAAACCUGCCCUCCGGGAGCUCCGUGUCCUGCGUCAGGGAUUUCCUCCAGGGUACAGACACCUGUCCUCUCGCCUCCUGCCUCACUGGUCCCUGCUGCCCAGAGAGACCCUCCCCUCCCCGGACCUCUUUUGCCCUUGGACACUCCUUGAGGCUUCCAGUUGCCUGCUGGACAAGGACACCUUCCUGGAAAACUUCCACCUUGAGUGGUGGCCAAAUAAGGCCUACCUCUGCUACGAGACGGAGCUCCCCAGCGGUGACCCCGGGGUUCCUCUGGGCCAACACAAGGACAUCCUGUGCGAUAAGCAAAUGACACAACCCUUUCCUGCCUCCUCUGUGCUCGGCCUGCCCGGGGAGGUCAGCCGGGCUGCCGCGCAGAGUUGUGCCGGCUGCAGCGGAUCCAGGCCUGGGAGAUGCUUUCUGUCCUGGAGAACAGACACGUGACCCUGCACCCCUUCGCCUCCCGCCUCUAUACCGAGGAAGGAUUUCAGAAUGGGUUGUGCCUCCUGCGGGGGGCCGGGGCCCGCAUCGCCAUCAUGACCUCCACGGAGUUUGAGCACUGCUGGGAACCCUUCGUGGACACCCAAGGAAGAGCCUUCGAGCCCCGGGACACGCUGGUCUCCCAGAGUCAGGACCUCGCUGAGACGCCGCAGGUCACAUAAAGCCUGAAGGGUGGGCCUCAGUCCCGCUAAGAACUCAGGAGGCCUCUGUUGGACAGCAGAAUAAAACACUUCCUCCCAAGAAAUGUACACUUGCCCUUCACCGCCAUCCCCAGAUUGAUGUAAUGAAGCCAGCAGAAGGCAAUGAGCCCAGAGCAAAUAGUCUUAAAAAAAAAAAAAAAAAGAACUGAGUAGGUUUGCUUGUCAUUGAAAAUCUUCUGUUCCAAAUAUACAUCAUGAAGAUUGCACUCAGCGCUGUCAGAAGAGUUUUCAGAGUUUAGAGAAGUAAUUACUGUAAUUGAU